GUGCCUUCGGGAACUGUGAGACAGGUGCUGCAUGGCUGUCGUCAGCUCGUGUUGUGAAAUGUUGGGUUAAGUCCCGCAACGAGCGCAACCCUUAUCCUUUGUUGCCAGCGAUUAGGUCGGGAACUCAAAGGAGACUGCCAGUGAUAAACUGGAGGAAGGUGGGGAUGACGUCAAGUCAUCAUGGCCCUUACGACCAGGGCUACACACGUGCUACAAUGGCGCAUACAAAGAGAAGCGACCUCGCGAGAGCAAGCGGAGCUCAUAAAGUGCGUCGUAGUCCGGAUUGGAGUCUGCAACUCGACUCCAUGAAGUCGGAAUCGCUAGUAAUCGUGGAUCAGAAUGCCACGGUGAAUACGUUCCCGGGCCUUGUACACACCGCCCGUCACACCAUGGGAGUGGGUUGCAAAAGAAGUAGGUAGCUUAACCUUCGGGAGGGCGCUUACCACUUUGUGAUUCAUGACUGGGGUGAAGUCGUAACAAGGUAACCGUAGGGGAACCUGCGGUUGGAUCACCUCCUUACCUUAAAGAAGC
rnacentral:rRNA from 1 species